rnacentral:rRNA from 1 species
UACGUAGGUGGCAAGCGUUGUCCGGAAUCAUUGGGCGUAAAGCGCGCGUAGGCGGCCCGGUAAGUCCGCUGUGAAAGUCAAAGGCUCAACCUUUGAAUGUCAGCGGAUACUGCCGGGCUAGAGUCCGGAAGAGGCGAGUGGAACUCCUGGUGCAGCGGUGGAAUGCGCAGAUAUCGGGAAGAACACCCGUGGCGAAGGCGGCUCUCUGGGACGGUACUGACGCUGAGACGCGAAAGCGUGGGGAGCGAACAGG